AUUGAACGCUGGCGGCAGGCCUAACACAUGCAAGUCGAACGAGUGGCGGACGGGUGAGUAAUGUCUGGGAAACUGCCUGAUGGAGGGGGAUAAAUACUGGAACCGGUAGCUAAUACCGCAUACCAUCAGAUGUGCCCAGAUGGGAUUUGCUAGUUGGUGGGGUAACGGCUCACCAAGGCGAAGAUCCCUAGCUGGUCUGCGAGGAUGACCAGCCACACUGGAACGGAGACACGGUCCAGAAUCCGACGGGAGUCAGCAGUGGGGAAUAUUGCACAAUGGGCGCAAGCCUGAUGCAGCCAUGCCGCGUGUAUGAAGAAGGCCUUCGGGUUGUAAAGUACGUUCAGCGGGGAGGCGUUACCCGCAGAAGAAGCACCGGCUAACUCCGUGCCAGCAGCCGCGGUAAUUC
rnacentral:rRNA from 1 species